GAAAAGGCAAUAAAAAAACAGUGAAGUUCAAGAAUUCAACAUGAAUUGCUUCAAGAUAAGCUAAGUUUAAAACAGAUUUAACCUUUUCCAGAAUAUGAAUGUCAUUUAAAAAUCUAGGGGAUAAAACCAAUGUAUAUAGAAUCUGAGAAGCAAAGUAUCAUAAAAACAAGUUAGGAGAAGUUCACAAGUUGCUGCAAAAGUGAUAGGAG
rnacentral:lncRNA from 1 species